rnacentral:lncRNA from 1 species
CCCUAGAGCUAGAAGGCGACGGGAAUGGGUGGUCAGUGCUCCCCAUAUAUAUUGCUGGUGCUUGAUGACGAUCGUUGCCGAAGGUCACUAGAUUCGGCAGCUUGUCGUUGUCAACCGCAUGGGAAGCAAUUUCUUGCUUCGACGUUGCCAACCGUGCUUUGCGGCGGGUGCAUGUACGUGUUUGGGUCUCCUCCAGAUCCAUGUAUUACCAUGGAGUUAGGAGGCUAGCCCCACUCCCAACAUAAGGCAGAGAGGACGGGCUGAAGGAGCUAGGACAGUGAUA